rnacentral:rRNA from 1 species
UACAGAGGGGGCAAGCGUUGUUCGGAAUUACUGGGCGUAAAGGGCGCGUAGGCGGCCUGCUAAGUCGAACGUGAAAUCCCUGGGCUCAACCCAGGAACUGCGUCCGAUACUGGUUGGCUUGAAUCCGGGAGAGGGAUGUGGAAUUCCAGGUGUAGCGGUGAAAUGCGUAGAGAUGUGGAGGAACACCGAUGGCGAAGGCAGCCCCCUGGGCUAACACUGACGCUCAUGCACGAAAGCGUGGGGAGCAAACAGG